rnacentral:rRNA from 1 species
UACGUAGGGUGCAAGCGUUGUCCGGAAUUAUUGGGCGUAAAGGGCUCGUAGGCGGUUUGUCGCGUCGGGAGUGAAAACUCAGGGCUUAACCCUGAGCCUGCUUCCGAUACGGGCAGACUAGAGGUAUGCAGGGGAGAAUGGAAUUCCUGGUGUAGCGGUGAAAUGCGCAGAUAUCAGGAGGAACACCGGUGGCGAAGGCGGUCUCUGGGCAUAACCUGACGCUGAGGAGCGAAAGUGUCGGGUAGGCGAACAGG